UGGUUUGUUGAAAGAGUAAUUGGAGAUCGAGUUGUAUGCAUAUGUUUCAUGUGUGGAUAAGGAACCCUCUAACUAGUUUCUCAUCAUUCUAUUUCAUCACAAUCUGUUUUGCUUUAAGUUUGUUUUCAAAGUUUAAGUUUUAAAGUUUUUAAGUUCGUCAAAAUCAAUCCCCCCCAUUUAUUUUAAAGUGUUAGAUUAGUUAGAAAUCAAUUUAGUUUGUGUUUUUAAGUGUCUUGAGUCAAGUUUUAGUCCAAUUUCGUCCAAAUUAGUGUUAGGUACUCAAAACUGCCC
rnacentral:lncRNA from 1 species